rnacentral:tmRNA from 1 species
GGGGCUGAGUUAGGUUCGACGGAACGAUCCGCGGUUAGUGAAAGCAGGCGGAGUUGCGAGCACUCCUAAAACGAUCGCAAGCGUUUACACGCAAAUAACGAAUACGCUCUGGCUGCCUAAUCUAGGCUAGUCACGGGAUGCGAGAGGUCGCCGGAAUCAACUCGCAAACCGUCAUAAGCUCCGGCUAGAAUGAAGCGCCGAUCCGAACUUCAUUUGAAAAUUAGGAUCUGCUGCGAGCGAAAUCCCGGUUUCGAGGAGCGCGCUCGAGUAAGUCAAAUUCGAAACUGAGCCUGGAGAAAGCACUAGCCCGGCUUUUCGGACUCGGGGGGCAGUUCCCCGACAGCUCCACCA